rnacentral:rRNA from 1 species
UACGAAGGGGCUAGCGUUGUUCGGAAUUAUCUAGGGCGUAAAGCGCGCGCAGGCGGUUCUUCAAGUCAGAGGUGAAAGCCCAGAGCUCACUCUGGAAUGGCCUUUGAGACUAGAGAACUAGGGUACGGGAGAGGUGAGUGGAAUCCGAGUGUAGAGGGUGAAAUUCGUAGAUAUCGGGAGGAACACCUGUGGCGAAGGCG